AUAUAGCUGACGAGAUCUAAAUAGGACGAAACGUGCGUCUUGGAU
rnacentral:hammerhead_ribozyme from 1 species